rnacentral:rRNA from 1 species
GACGAACGCUGGCGGCGUGCCUAAUACAUGCAAGUCGAACGGUGACGCGAGGAGCUUGCUCUUUUUUGGUGGGUUGCGGACGGGUGAGUAACGCGUAGAUCACCUGCUUGGUAUCGGGGGAUAAUUAGUGGAAACGAUAGCUAAUACCACAUAAAAUGGAUUAUCGGAUGAUAAAUGGUAGAAAGGGGCCAAUGCAUCACGAACAGAUGGAUCUGCGUUGUAUUAGUUGGUUGGUGGGGUAACGGCUCACCAAGGGGACGAUUCAUAGCCGACCUGAGCGGGUGAGCGGCCCCACUUGGACUGAGACACGGCCCAGACUCCUUCGGGGAGCAGCAGUAGGGAAUCUUCGGCAAUGGGCGGAAAUCUGACCGAGCCACGCCGGGGUAGGGAAGAAGGGCCUCGGGUCGUAAAGGUCUGUUUUAAGGGAAGAAAGAGCGUGAGAGUGGAACGUCCACACUGUGACGGUAUCUUACCAGAAAGCGACGGCUAACUACGUG